rnacentral:rRNA from 1 species
CCGGUGAAGAUGCCGGAUACCUGCGACAGGACGGAAAGACCCCAUGGAGCUUUACUGUAGCUUGACAUUGGGUCUUGGUACUACAUGUACAGGAUAGGUGGGAGGCUUUGAAACCAGGACGCCAGUUUUGGCGGAGCCAUCCUUGGGAUACCACCCUUGUAGUACUGGGACUCUAACCAUAGGCCAUGAAUCUGGUCUUGGGACACUG